rnacentral:snRNA from 1 species
GGCUUCCAUCAUUUCUUU